CCUGCGGAAGGAUCAUUAACGAAGUAUAAGGAGGGUUGUAGCUGCCUUGAAAGAGGAUGUGCACACCUUUCAAUCUUCCAUAACCACCUGUGCACCCUUACAUGGGAUUGUGGUGUAACGAAUGGCUUGCUGUUUGUUGCUUUGCAAUCCUAUGUCUUUUAUACACUCUAUAAAUUUUGAAUGGUUGUCUAACGGAUUGUAAUGAUCUGUUAUAAAUUAAAUACAACUUUCAGCAACGGAUCUCUUGGCUCUCGCAUCGAUGAAGAACGCAGCGAAAUGCGAUAAGUAAUGUGAAUUGCAGAAUUCAGUGAAUCAUCGAAUCUUUGAACGCACCUUGCACCCUUUGGUAUUCCGAGGGGUAUGCCUGUUUGAGUGUCAUUAAAUUCUCAAACUCAAUGUGGUUUUUAACUGUGUUGAGGCUUGGAUUUGGAGGUUGCAGGCUUUAACAAGUCGGCUCUUCUUAAAUGCAUUAGUGGCUUGUCGAUCCCCAUUUUUUGGUGUGAUAGUAAUAUCUACAUCAUGAUGAAUGGCUAGGUCAUGCGAUGACAAUAUGGCUGCUUUCUAACCGUCCUAUGGGACAACUUGAACCAUUUGGCCUCAAAUCAGGUAGGACUACCCGCUGAACUUAAGCAUAUCAAUAAGCGGAGGAAAAGAAACUAACAAGGAUUCCCCUAGUAACUGCGAGUGAAGCGGGAAAAGCUCAAAUUUAAAAUCUGGUAGCCUUUGGUUAUCCGAGUUGUAAUUUAAAGAAGUGUUACCCGCGCUGGACCGUGUAUAAGUCUUCUGGAAUGGAGCAUCAUUGAGGGUGAGAAUCCCGUCUUUGACACGGACUACCAGGGCAUUGUGGUGCGCUCUCAACGAGUCGAGUUGUUUGGGAAUGCAGCUCAAAAUGGGUGGUAAAUUCCAUCUAAAGCUAAAUAUUGGCGAGAGACCGAUAGCGAACAAGUACCGUGAGGGAAAGAUGAAAAGAA
rnacentral:rRNA from 1 species